CAGCAGCCCGAGUGGUGGCCGCUUUUAUUGGGCCUAAAGCGUCCGUAGCCGGUCCAGUAAACCCUUGGGUAAAUCGUGGGGCUUAACUCCAUGAAUUCCGAGGAGACUGCUGGACUUGGGACCGGAAGAGGUCGGAGGUACUCUGGGGGUAGGGGUGAAAUCCUGUAAUCCUUGGGGGACCACCAGUGGCGAAGGCGUCUGACUAGAACGGAUCCGACGGUAAGGGACGAAACCCUGGGGCGCGAACCGGAUUAGAUACCCGAGUAGUCC
rnacentral:rRNA from 1 species